rnacentral:rRNA from 1 species
UAUUAUACUAAAAAUAAAUAUUAAAAGUUAAAUUAUUAAUAGUUAUAAUCUUUAAAAUUAAAGAAUUUGGCGGUAAUUUAGUCUUGUUAGAGGAACCUGUCUAUUAAAUCGAUAAACCACGUAAUAUUUUACUUACUUUAUUAAUAGUUUGUAUACCAUCAUUAACAGAUAAUUUUUAUAGAAUAUAAUUAUUAUAUUUAUAUUUAUUCGUAAAAUUAGAUCAAGGUGCAGCUUAUAAGUAUGCUAGGAUGGGUUACAAUAAGUUAAACUUAUUACGGAGUAAUAGAUGAAAAUUGUUAUGAAGGAGGAUUUAAUUGUAAUAUAAAAUUUAGUAAGUUUAUAUGAUAUAAGCUCUAAAUUAU